AUUGAACGCUGGCGGCAUGCCUUACACAUGCAAGUCGAACGGCAGCACGGGAGCAAUCCUGGUGGCGAGUGGCGAACGGGUGAGUAAUAUAUCGGAACGUGCCCAGUAGUGGGGGAUAACUGCUCGAAAGAGCAGCUAAUACCGCAUACGACCUGAGGGUGAAAGGGGGGGAUCGCAAGACCUCUCGCUAUUGGAGCGGCCGAUAUCAGAUUAGCUAGUUGGUGGGGUAAAGGCCUACCAAGGCAACGAUCUGUAGUUGGUCUGAGAGGACGACCAGCCACACUGGGACUGAGACACGGCCCAGACUCCUACGGGAGGCAGCAGUGGGGAAUUUUGGACAAUGGGCGCAAGCCUGAUCCAGCAAUGCCGCGUGCAGGAAGAAGGCCUCGGGUUGUAACUGCUUUGUCAGGGAAGAAAGUACCUCUAGGUUAAUACCCUUGGGGGAGUGACGGUACCUGAAGAAUAAGCACCGGCGUAACUACGUGCCAGCAGCCGCGGUAA
rnacentral:rRNA from 1 species